rnacentral:ncRNA from 1 species
UAACGAUGAGAUGCCUACAACUAAUAAGAAAAGGUAGGGGGGAGACACGGCCCAGAAUCCCACGAGGGGCAGCAGCGGGGAAUCUUGGACAAUGGGUGAAAGCCCGAUCCAACAAUAUCGCGUGAGUGAAGAAGGGAAAAAUGCCGCUUGUAAAGCUCUUUCGUCGAGUGCGUGAUCAUGACAGGACUCGAGGAAGAAGCCCCGGCUAACUCCGUGCCAGCAGUCGCGGUAAGAGGGGGGGGGGCAA